GAUGAACGCUGGCGGCGUGCUUAACACAUGCAAGUCGAACGGAAAGGCCCAAGCUUGCUUGGGUACUCGAGUGGCGAACGGGUGAGUAACACGUGGGUGAUCUGCCCUGCACUUCGGGAUAAGCCUGGGAAACUGGGUCUAAUACCGGAUAGGGCCACUUCUUGGAUGUUGUGGUGGAAAGUUUUUUCGGUGUGGGAUGAGCUCGCGGCCUAUCAGCUUGUUGGUGGGGUAAUGGCCUACCAAGGCGUCGACGGGUAGCCGGCCUGAGAGGGUGUACGGCCACAUUGGGACUGAGAUACGGCCCAGACUCCUACGGGAGGCAGCAGUGGGGAAUAUUGCACAAUGGGCGCAAGCCUGAUGCAGCGACGCCGCGUGGGGGAUGACGGCCUUCGGGUUGUAAACUCCUUUCGCUAGGGACGAAGCGUUUUGUGACGGUACCUGGAGAAGAAGCACCGGCUAACUACGUG
rnacentral:rRNA from 1 species